rnacentral:rRNA from 1 species
GACGAACGCUGGCGGCGUGCUCAACACAUGCAAGUCGAACGAAGAGCGAUGGAAGCUUGCCUCUAUCAAUCUUAGUGGCGAACGGGUGAGUAACGCGUAAUCAACCUGCCCUUCAGAGGGGGACAACAGUUGGAAACGACUGCUAAUACCGCAUACGAUCUAAUCUCGGCAUCGAGGAAAGAUGAAAGGUGGCCUCUAUUUAUAAGCUAUCACUGAAGGAGGGGAUUGCGUCUGAUUAGCUAGUUGGAGGGGUAACGGCCCACCAAGGCGAUGAUCAGUAGCCGGUCUGAGAGGAUGAACGGCCACAUUGGGACUGAGACACGGCCCAGACUCCUACGGGAGGCAGCAGUGGGGAAUCUUCCGCAAUGGACGAAAGUCUGACGGAGCAACGCCGCGUGAGUGAUGACGGCCUUCGGGUUGUAAAGCUCUGUUAAUCGGGACGAAAGGCCUUCUUGCGAACAGUUAGAAGGAUUGACGGUACCGGAAUAGAAAGCCACGGCUAACUACGUG